UAAGUCGUCGUCUACUGUUCGGGUCGCUCAGAGUGGAUCAUUCGAUUGAGCUGUAAGGUUCAGCGACUCGCUAGGAUAACGAUGACCGAAGAAAGAACGCUUGGAUGAAAAGAGCAAGAUACGCCUUUGAUUCAAGUUUAAUCGACAUUGCUACUGUUUGGAUCGUUUGACUGCAAUAUGGGGCUCAGCGACGCCAUGACUGCAACCGAAGAACUGGGAUAUGUUUUGUUUUAGUUCGUAGAAAGAGAGAUAAAUAUUUUAAAUUACAAUGCUACUGUUCGUUGGUAGAUAUCAUUCGACUGAUCUACAAGGUUCAACAGCGUGCAACUUAUAGCGAGGCGUGCAACGGAAUACUUCGGAUUGAAAGAUCUAUGCUCACAAAGGUAAAGAGUAAAACUCGACACGUGACAAAGGAUUAUGCCUUGGUCUCCAAAGGCCUAGGUUUAGCAAAAGACAUUUCUGCUAUGGUCUCGCGUGUCAAACGGAUUUAAUGUUCGGUACCUGGUACAAAAUGUGUUUGAAAUCAGAGAUAGAUAGGGAGCUUACGGAAUGUUUACCCAAAAAAUUCUAUCAUAACCGCCCAUGCAGCCUGCCCGCUGCCGUGUUGCACCCGGGGUGCGGCUGCAUUUAACUUAAAUCAACUUACGAUGCCCAGCUCGUAAAGCAGAAAUUUGAAUGGAGCAUAAGGAGUGAUUGAUGUAGUCCGACUACAGCAUUCUGAGUAACUCUAUUAAGGCAGGAGAGUGACGUGUACGUUAAUGCAAUGCUCUCGCAUGCGCGAAAGGAUAUGUUGGAUAUGCCAUACGGUAAAGGUAGUCUGUUUUGGCGUAGAAUGUGAUCACCCUCGGGAAUAGGGAAUGUUAUUAUCAAAUCCUGGAUAUGACAGUGUUUCACUGGAUACACUAGAAGGAUGCCCAAAUUCAAUGACACCAGUAAUAAUCAGUUGUUAGGUUACUUCCGAGAGAGCCGGUUGUUGUUGGAUCCACUCUUCAUCGUGAUUGGUAUCGUUGGCUGCGUUUUAGCAGUUCUUUACCUUGAAAACAUAUACGCCCGUGUGGGAGUAGCAUUCUUGGCUGCCUGUUGGACAGCCGCCGGGUUCGGAAUGUGCUGCGUCCAUUGCUGCAAGUCACUUAGAGAAACAGAAUUAAGACAGAAAGAAGCAAAAGAAGAGAGCACUAAACUGAGUGAAGUUCGCUUAUCUAACGCAUCAAGUGGGGAAAAUGUGUAGUGGUAGACCAGUGGGAAGCAACCAAUCCAAUGUGGUAAAUAAUAGAUGACAUUAUAGCGAGUGAUGGAGUUAGUUAGCCAUAAACGUAGUAGGCCGUAAAAUUGAUGAUAUAUUUUAGCUUUGGUAGUUUAGGAGAACUCGAGUGACCCAAGGAUGCCUUUUAAUGAUACCACCAACAAUCCCCUCUUCGGCUUCUUGAGAAAGAAGCGGUUGGUUCUUGACCCAUUCUUCAUCAUCUUCGGUGUAGCGUUCUGUGUUCUUUCUGCUUUAUAUCUAGAAAAUAUGUAUGCCAAGGUUGGUGUCUCCUUACUUGCUGCUGGUUGGACUGUAGGGGCUCUCGUCAUGUGCUGUGUGGAUAGCCAAAAGCCGAAAAAAGAAGAUGAAGAAAAUAUUAUGGAAAAUGAGGUGUUGCCAGACUUCGAUAGUACCGCGUCAGCAUAGCUUACCACUGCUUGCAAAAGUGAGGGGCUUAUUUAAAAGCAUUUGAAAAUGUGUACAGUGUGAAGUGUAGGGUGCUCGAAGAGUGAUGUACAUGAUGUCUAGUUCUUCUAUUUGUGACAGCGUGACGAACUGUUAAGUAGGUCAAGGUCAACUGUGUCUUCAGUCUCGUCCUCGCGUACGUCCUCGAGGUAUUCUUCAAGGUCAUCUCUAAAAACGUCAUCAUCUAGAGCCUCGUCUCGGGCAUCUAGCAGAUCAUCCACCCCAAGAAGCACGCACAGACAGUUUGGGCCCUGUGAUCUCACCAUGUAUACUAUCAAAGAAAGUCCAAGUAUAAUGACGGAAAGCCCCUCCCGAAUAGCACGUCCAACCAAGAAGUACUCCACCGAGUCUGAGGAAUUGUCAUGUCCUGGUGAUAAGGAUGAUGAUGGCGCAAAAUCCGACGCUGAGAUCCUCAAAUAGACUAUGGAUUUUGUGUGUAACGCAUAUACUUGUAUAUCAUGUCUGACUCGGGGAUACUUUUGUACGCUGUGAAACCUGAUUUUCGUACGACAAGCAAAAUGCAUUGGAGAUUGAAGCAAAAACGCAUACAGUCGCAGUUCCCAUCCGGAAUAUCCGUGGUUUUGCGUCGUGUUAAGGAGCACGAGUAUUCGAACAGGAACUUUUGGCGAACAGUGUUUUGCAACCAGCCUAAGUGUCAUAUACAUGACGGACAUGCACUGACAUUACGCCCGUCAUGGACAACAUUCUAGUGCUCCGUGUAGAUAUUUUUCUCGUGUUUUAAUAUUCAUUUUAUACUCGUUGCCGCAAGCCUGAGAAUGUUCAUGUUCAUUUGAGGGCAGAUAUCUUAGUAACGAUUCUGUGUCCGAUACAAUUUGUACACUGUACUCUUUUAAUUGCCCUUGUAGUGUAUUGCCAAAUUGAUGGAACGUUCACCUUUGGCCAGACUCCAGUAUUGGCUUAUUUCUGUCGCUAUGGCACUGCAAAGAAAACUGACUAAAUCUUCUGACUUGAAUCUCUUUCAGUCGCUCGCAAAAACCUUUGGUUUCAUCGCACUGCCGUCUCGCAUCUGUUUAUUGAGCAAUGUUUGCCGUAGAUGCUUGAUUACUGAUGUGGGCCAUAACUUUUAUGGAUUAAUGGACGGGAGUCGUCGUUUUGGUCUCGCUCAUUUCCGAUAGCUUAUGCUGGGCGUAUAUGCUUCUACGACGGCCGCGGGGUUCCAUCGCUGUUCGUCGUAUCUCUAAUGGAAAGUGAUUACUUUCAUUUCCAAAACAACACUUCCGUGCAGCGAUUAAAACCUCACAUCUGAUUGUGGGCCCUACAUAUAUCUCUGAUAAGCGCGGGUUAUAAUGUGCCUGAAUUAUAAUUUGAUACUCGAAUACGUUGUCUUCCAAAUGUAAAAGGUGCAGUUGCAAAUUGUCAGCCACAACCAACAAAAACAGGAGUUCUAGCCCCUGAAUUGGCACCUCCUGCCAAUUGUCUACCAUCAAACAGUGAAUUCAGCAUUGUGGACUGAUAUGAUAGCAAUGCAGUCUUAACGUUUGGAUGGAGUGAUAAGUCUUCUUACAUCGCCUGGCCCUGUAAGCAUCUAUGCAUUGUUUCCUUUCAAAUGUUCAUGAGAAAUACCGUGUGGUUCUUUUAAGACCGAAAUGACAAACCAUGCACCCUGCUGGCGUGUCACAUAGAGAGAUGGUUGGCAGGACGUACUGUCCAUAUGAUACCUCACUGGAGGUAUUAGUUUAGUCAACAAACACCAGGAGGCUAAAGCUAAAAUAUAAGCCAAAACCGAGGCGUCUUGCCGGCGUUUUGGCGAAAUGGAAGCUCCAUAAUCAAUACCAAUGAUCAACAUCGCACGGAUGUUAGGAAAUGCGUUAUGCCUAACAUCUCUAUUGUAUAAUCCUUCACUUCCUCAGAUUGGUGUUUUCUCUUAUAUAUUUUUAUACAACUUUGCUGUGUUCUUUCCCUUUGUCAUGACUGAAAGAUAUACCGUAGGUCGAAGUAAGCUACGUUCAAAAGUCGCCAGACUCGCGAAGUUCCGACUGUGUAGUACCAUUGUAGCCGUACCUAGUCUCCCUGUCUUCACCCGUGUCACGCGUCAUUCACAUACAAAUGUACCAUUGAUAUAAGAUGUUCAAGUCCUUUUCAAGGAUUUUAUAUUUUUAGUUUUCGACUAUGCGAUCUCUGUCUUUAGUCGUCAGUACGCCGUAUGGAUGACCAAGAACCAAGCUUUUUGCCACUGUCUGUUACAGCACAGAUGAAUGACACUAGCAUAUAGGGCAAAUGGUGUCGCUGCAUCCGUGCAAGUGUCACACUGAGAAAAAGCUGUUAUCAGUAAGUUAGCUUAUGAUUCAGAAAAGGCAUCAUACGAAGGGUCAUGUUUAACAAGAUUUGGUCCAAGCGUAAAACAUCGGACUUUUGAACCCAACUGGCCAUUCUAAAGCAAAUUCCGAAAAUUUUGGUGUUUCUGAUUAAGGAUGCAUUUCCCUUUACCUUGAUUUGCUGGGUAUACAUAGAAUAUUAUAAUGAUUACUUGUGAGUCUGUGGAAAAGAAACCAAUUGGGUGAUUGAUAGAUGUAAAGAUAAAAAUCAAAAAAUCAAAUAGUGCUUUAUUAAUUCAAUGUUAUGUAUGUACAAACUCUUUACCACAAUGUACUAUAACAUGAGUAAACACUAAAAGGUAGCAGUUGUUUUGAAAUGAAUUGCUUACUUUUAAUUUGAGCACGUUACAUGUACAUUCUAUACUGAAUUUUAGUUCCAAUGAACAAUGCUCUACUCUAUUUAAGGGAUAAUUAUUUUAAUGAUUCUUUGGUGGAUUUCAUAAAAUUUGAAAUAUAAUUCAGCCAUUUGAGUUGUCAUAGUGCACCAUGAAUUCAUUUUCAUUCGUCUAUUUUGAACCCACUUAUUUUUCAUGGCGUUUCUUAUAGACGUUCACUAUUAUCAAGAUGUGCUUUACUACAUAACCGUUCUAUGUGUGUUGUACAAUUUAUCAUCCCGAUGAUAUUCUUGAAUUAUAUUCUUUAAAUCCUAAACAUAAUAAGAACAAAUAUAAAACUAUUGUAAAUAUAAUU